rnacentral:rRNA from 1 species
AUUGAACGCUGGCGGCAUGCCUUACACAUGCAAGUCGAACGGCAGCACGGAGCUUGCUCUGGUGGCGAGUGGCGAACGGGUGAGUGAUAUAUCGGAACGUACCCUAGAGUGGGGGAUAACGUAGCGAAAGUUACGCUAAUACCGCAUACGAUCUAAGGAUGAAAGUGGGGGAUCGCAAGACCUCAUGCUCGUGGAGCGGCCGAUAUCUGAUUAGCUAGUUGGUAGGGUAAAAGCCUACCAAGGCAUCGAUCAGUAGCUGGUCUGAGAGGACGACCAGCCACACUGGAACUGAGACACGGUCCAGACUCCUACGGGAGGCAGCAGUGGGGAAUUUUGGACAAUGGGCGAAAGCCUGAUCCAGCAAUGCCGCGUGAGUGAAGAAGGCCUUCGGGUUGUAAAGCUCUUUUGUCAGGGAAGAAACGGUGAGAGCUAAUAUCUCUUGCUAAUGACGGUACCUGAAGAAUAAGCACCGGCUAACUACGUGCCAGCAGCCGCGGUAAUACGUAGGGUGCAAGCGUUAAUCGGAAUUACUGGGCGUAAAGCGUGCGCAGGCGGUUUUGUAAGUCUAAUGUGAAAUCCCCGGGCUCAACCUGGGAAUUGCAUUGGAGACUGCAAGGCUAGAAUCUGGCAGAGGGGGGUAGAAUUCCACGUGUAGCAGUGAAAUGCGUAGAUAUGUGGAGGAACACCGAUGGCGAAGGCAGCCCCCUGGGUCAAGAUUGACGCUCAUGCACGAAAGCGUGGGGAGCAAACAGGAUUAGAUACCCUGGUAGUCCACGCCCUAAACGAUGUCUACUAGUUGUCGGGUCUUAAUUGACUUGGUAACGCAGCUAACGCGUGAAGUAGACCGCCUGGGGAGUACGGUCGCAAGAUUAAAACUCAAAGGAAUUGACGGGGACCCGCACAAGCGGUGGAUGAUGUGGAUUAAUUCGAUGCAACGCGAAAAACCUUACCUACCCUUGACAUGGCUGGAAUCCUUGAGAGAUCAGGGAGUGCUCGAAAGAGAACCAGUACACAGGUGCUGCAUGGCUGUCGUCAGCUCGUGUCGUGAGAUGUUGGGUUAAGUCCCGCAACGAGCGCAACCCUUGUCAUUAGUUGCUACGAAAGGGCACUCUAAUGAGACUGCCGGUGACAAACCGGAGGAAGGUGGGGAUGACGUCAAGUCCUCAUGGCCCUUAUGGGUAGGGCUUCACACGUCAUACAAUGGUACAUACAGAGCGCCGCCAACCCGCGAGGGGGAGCUAAUCGCAGAAAGUGUAUCGUAGUCCGGAUUGUAGUCUGCAACUCGACUGCAUGAAGUUGGAAUCGCUAGUAAUCGCGGAUCAGCAUGUCGCGGUGAAUACGUUCCCGGGUCU